rnacentral:misc_RNA from 1 species
UUCUUCUCUGCCAUCAGGCCAACACAGGUCAAUAACAAGCUCUGACACAGGUUCACUUACAGGUUAGCUCUAAAACUUUAUCAUAGAAACAAUUUGAUAUAGAAUUUAAUUGUUUUCUUAGCUGGAUAUCAUGAGCGUUGGAAGCUAUGUCGAAUGCUCUAAACUCUAAGCUAUGUCGAAUGCUCUAAACUCUAAACAACUAAGUGGUUUGUGCCUGCAUUUUCCUUGCAAAUCACUUUGACUUUAAUGAUUUGAUAGUGCCUAUUUUUCCUUUGAAAUGAGGGAAGCAGUGGUGGACAUAUUAAUCUUCAACCAACACUAGAUAUCAUUGCUCUUUGAAAUUAGAUAACUAAUUUUUGCAUUUGAUGGCGUCACGAGUGACUUUUUUCUUGACCAACAUAAUGUUUUAUAGAUAAUUUAUACAUUGCAGUGAAUUAAUUGAUUGCAAAAUUGAUAAUUGUAUCCAUAUAUCUUUUAGUUACUUUCCUUGCGCCAGAAUUAAGAUGCUUGAUUGACUAGGAAAGCCUUUCAGCCUUUUUUGGCAAUGAUCAUUUUGUGAUUUUGUGUUCUAGGAACUAAUGUCAAUUAUUAACAGCUUAACUAAUAACCAUGUUUAAGAUGUCUAAGCAUUUGCAGUUUCAUGUCGUUACUCCUUGAUUUUGUAUGUUUCAGGGCGAACCCGUGUGGAUGGGAAAGAAUUCUUC